AUCGAAAGAAGGUGAGUUCCGAAAAAACCCUUGUUCAUGACACUGUGAAAUUUCGAAUAUAUUGAAACAGAUCUGAAAUUUGUUAGCUUUUUUUGGAAAAAUUCGAUUGUAAUUGCCGACAUUAACUUUCGAAUAGGAGAUCUAGGUUUUUAUAUGAAGAAACCAAAGAUUUGUUUUAUAUGGUGAUGUUUGAUAUGAAUUUAAAGUAUUAGAUUAGUAUUGAGGGUCCCAUAACUUUCGAACGUUAUAUUCAUUUAGAAAUUAUUUUUUGUUCAUUGAAAAAGUUUGAUUGUUCAUUACAUAUUCAAGAAUUUGGGUUUGAAACCGAGUGAUUUCUGCGUUUGAGUGGAAGGGUUGAGUUCUUGAAGGAUGAGUUGGAGAGGUUGGUCGGUGGAUAUGUCUUGGGCUGCAGCUCUGUUGAUCACAAUCCAGUUUAAGAAGAUGGAAAGAGAGUUCUGGACCUUCUGGUUGGCACCUGCAUUUGGAGGCCAAAUUUUACAAUAAAAUAUAUAUAUUCACUUUAUAAAAAAAAAUUGUAUUCUAUUCAAUAAAAAUUAUGUUAUGUUCAUUGUAAAAUUGAGAUUAUUCGUUAUAUAAUAUAUUUAUGAAUGGUAUACUUUAUUUUUAUCUA
rnacentral:lncRNA from 1 species